rnacentral:rRNA from 1 species
UACGUAGGGUGCAAGCGUUAAUCGGAAUUACUGGGCGUAAAGCGUGCGCAGGCGGUUUGGUAAGUCAGAUGUGAAAUCCCCGGGCUUAACCUGGGAAUUGCAUUUGUGACUGCCCGGCUAGAGUUUGGCAGAGGGGGGUAGAAUUCCACGUGUAGCAGUGAAAUGCGUAGAUAUGUGGAGGAAUACCGAUGGCGAAAGCAGCCCCCUGGGUCAAGACUGACGCUCAUGCACGAAAGCGUGGGGAGCAAACAGG